rnacentral:tRNA from 1 species
GCUCCCAUAGUCUAAUCGGUUAAUGAUAAUGGAUUCUCAUCUCAUAGAUCCGGGUUCAAAUCCCGGUGGGAGUA